UGCUAAGGUAGCACAAUCACUUCGCCUUCUAAUUCGAAGGAUAGAAUGAAAGGGUUCACGACUUGUCCACUUUACCCUAAUUAUAUAGCUAAAUUUACCUAAAAGUAAAAAGGCUUUUAUCCUAAAAAAGGACAAAAAGACCCUAUCGAACUUCAUUCACAUAAUUUCAGCUGGGGUGGCUUAAAACUAAAACUUCUCUACUUACCCUCAACCAGACCCAAUAUUAUUGACAUCAGGAACAAGUUACCGUAGGGAUAACAGCGUUACAGAACUCUAAAGCUCUCAUCCAAAGUUCUUCCUGCGACCUCGAUGUUGAAUUAACAUAACUUAUUUAAGCAAAAAUAUUUAAAGUAGGUCUGUUCGACCUUUAAAAUGUUACAUGAUCUG
rnacentral:rRNA from 1 species